UCGAGAACGAGGGGAUGUUGUGGCGUCGCGAGGAAAUUUUGACAUGUUGUUGUUGUGAGGGCUCCAUGGUGAGAGCAAUCAGCUCACGGAAACUUUUGAGCGUGGGUGAGAAGUUUGGCUGGAAUUCCACUGCAGAUGAUCCAAAUUAAAUGUGGACUCUCCAUCCCUCCUUGAAGACAGGGCAGUGGAAACACAUCUCUGGACUUCUGAAUAUGAUGGCAGGCAGCUGGUGAUUCUCAAGAGAAGGGAAACACAGAUGUCACCUAACAAUGGAGGAGCAGACAGGCGGCAACACACACCCUGUGUUCUCCUCUGGGAGUUUUCAUGGCUAGGACUCUCCGGGGAUGUAGACGCUGAAUCCUGCCAUGUUUCACAUUCACUCGUGUCCUUGAGGGCUCAUCAUUUCAGUAAAGUUUAAUGAAGUCUUUACAGUCACAGGGAAUACGUUGUCGCUCAUCUGCUCCCAAGUUCAGUGGAAAAUAUUUUCUGGAAAAUAUUUACUUUGUAUUAAGUUGACAGCAAAUUUUUUCCAGCUAUGAGUAGAGUGAUGUAUGAACCUGAACAGAAACAACAUACUGCCUUAAAGCAAUAGUUCACCCAAAAAUGAAAAUUUGCUGGAAAUGUACUCACACUCAGGCCAUCCGAGAUGUAAGUGAUUUGGAGAAAUUUAGCAUUCCAUUUCUUGCUCACCAAUGGAUC